AAAUAUACAUGGAUGGAGACAGUAUAAUUGUUGUCCUGUUUAAGCGAGCUGGGAAUGGUGGGAGCCUGGUACAGAAAAUAAUUAGAGAUCACUCCUGAGUAUCCAAUCAAUUCAGGUUUUGAGGAGAAUUGGACGUGUCGUUCGCGUUAAGAACCUUGAGUGAAUUUAAAUCAAUGAUAAAUUUAAGUUUAUAAGGGUGGUACCGCGAGUCUUCUCGUCCCUUUU
rnacentral:ncRNA from 1 species